UACGUAGGUGGUAAGCGUUAUCCGGAUUUAUUGGGCGUAAAGGGAACGCAGGCGGUCUUUUAAGUCUGAUGUGAAAGCCUUCGGCUUAACCGGAGUAGUGCAUUGGAAACUGGGAGACUUGAGUGCAGAAGAGGAGAGUGGAACUCCAUGUGUAGCGGCGAAAUGCGUAGAUAUAUGGAAGAACACCAGUGGCGAAAGCGGCUCUCUGGUCUGUAACUGACGCUGAGGUUCGAAAGCGUGGGUAGCAAACAGG
rnacentral:rRNA from 1 species